rnacentral:rRNA from 1 species
GAUGAACGCUGGCGGCGUGCCUAAUACAUGCAAGUCGAGCGAACAGGUGAGGAGCUUGCUCCUCUGACGUUAGCGGCGGACGGGUGAGUAACACGUGGAUAACCUACCUAUAAGACUGGGAUAACUUCGGGAAACCGGAGCUAAUACCGGAUAAUAUAUUGAACCGCAUGGUUCAAUAGUGAAAGACGGUUUUGCUGUCACUUAUAGAUGGAUCCGCGCCGCAUUAGCUAGUUGGUAAGGUAACGGCUUACCAAGGCAACGAUGCGUAGCCGACCUGAGAGGGUGAUCGGCCACACUGGAACUGAGACACGGUCCAGACUCCUACGGGAGGCAGCAGUAGGGAAUCUUCCGCAAUGGGCGAAAGCCUGACGGAGCAACGCCGCGUGAGUGGUGAAGGUCUUCGGAUCGUAAAACUCUGUUAUUAGGGAAGAACAAAUGUGUAAGUAACUAUGCACGUCUUGACGGUACCUAAUCAGAAAGCCACGGCUAACUACGUG